UACGUAGGGGGCAAGCGUUGUCCGGAAUCAUUGGGCGUAAAGAGCGCGUAGGCGGUCCAGUAAGUCCGCUCUGAAAGUCCGGGGCUCAACCCCGGGAGGCGGGCGGAUACUGCUGGGCUAGAGUCCGGAAGAGGCGAGUGGAAUUCCUGGUGUAGCGGUGAAAUGCGCAGAUAUCAGGAGGAACACCAAUGGCGAAGGCAGCUCGCUGGGACGGUACUGACGCUGAGACGCGAAAGCGUGGGUAGCAAACAGG
rnacentral:rRNA from 1 species